CAGGAACUCCGAGGCACUUACAUUUAUCUCCCACUAUCCUCUCUAUGUUCUUCACACACUAACUAGAAUGUCGUGGUUUACAAACUAGGAAGUCACUGCCUUCUGUCUGAUGAAAAAUUCUGGAGAGCUGGGGUCAGAAAAAAAGAAAAGUCGUAAGCGGAUCCCCCAAACAGAAUGCCCCAGGAAUUCACUUUUGUGCUUAGAAGAAGGACAGGAAAAGUAACCAAAACCCCAGGACUGAGAACCAGUCAUUGCCCUUCAUUACAGAUCCAGGACCCACAAGAAAAGGAGAGCUUCACCAGGAAGUAACUAGCUACAGAACAAGACACACCAUUGCAUUGAAGCUGCCUGGAGAAAACUCUGAGGGCUAAGGGGUGGACAGAGCUACAAGACCGAGAAUCUUGAAUCCCUAAAGGAUGAC
rnacentral:lncRNA from 10 species